rnacentral:rRNA from 1 species
GGACAGAAAAAACCCUAUGAAGCUUGACUGUAUCCUGGAAUUGGGUUCGGGCUUUUCUUGCGCAGUCUAGGUGGGAGGCUAUGAAGAUUUCCUUCCGGGGAAGUUGGAGCCAUCAGUGAGAGACCACUCUGGAGAGGCUAGAAUCCUAAUGGUGAUCCUUGAAUCAGGACACUUGACAGUUUCAGGUGGGCAGUUUUUCUGGGGCGGAAGCCUCAUAAAGGGUAACUGAGGCGCGCAAAGGUCCCCUCAGUCUGGACGGAAAUCAGACAACGAGUGUAAAGGCAAAAGGGGGCUUGACUGCAAGACCUACAAGUCGAGCAGGAGCGAAAGCUGGCCUUAGUGAUCCGACGGUACCGCGUGAAGG